rnacentral:rRNA from 1 species
UGGGGAAUAUUGGACAAUGGGGGAAACCCUGAUCCAGCGACGCCGCGUGAAGGAAGAAUGCCCUCGGGUUGUAAACUUCAGUAGGCAGGGAAGAAAGCAAUGACGGUACCUGCAGAGUAAGCCACGGCUAACUACGUGCCAGCAGCCGCGGUAAUACGUAGGUGGCGAGCGUUAUCCGGAAUUACUGGGUGUAAAGGGUGAGUAGGCGGGUCAACAAGUCAGGAGUGAAAUGUACGGGCUCAACCCGUACCGUGCUAAUGAAACUGUUGAUCUUGAGUGGGGAAGAGGUAAAUGGAAUUCCCGGUGUAGCGGUGAAAUGCGUAGAUAUCGGGAGGAACAUCAGUGGCGAAGGCGAUUUACUGGGCCGCAACUGACGCUGAUACACGAAAGCGUGGGUAGCAAACAGG